GUCCCGAACUUGUGGGAAUGUUGCCGAGUAAUCUUCCUUGCCUCAAAACUCUUGAGAUUAUAAAUUGCCCACAGCUGCUGGUUAAAGCUUCUAGCCUUAUUCUCCCGUCACUCACCUCCCUGUCCAUGAGUGAUGUUCGGCUUCCAAGCCUUCCAGUGCUCCUUGAGACAUGUAACGUGCUUGAACCCAGUUCCCUUACUUGCUUAGAUAUUAGAAAUGUUUCAAUCCCUGAGUCCCUGUGCAAUCCAAGCAUAGAUGAUGAAGUGAUGUUGGCAAAUGCAAUGUCUAAGCAUCUGAGUUCAGUAACUUCCUUGAGCAUUGAGCAGAUUCAGAAACUUGCAUUAUUGCCAAAAUGGCUUACCCAGGGGCUUAAAGGACUCAAAGAAUUGAAUAUUUUUUGUUGUGAAGAACUCACAACACUGUGGCAGAAUGAGGCGGGACUACAACGCAGUCUCCUUGCCUUGCAACAUUUGGGCAUUAAUUAUUGUCCGCAACUUGUUUCAUUGUUUGAAGAAGACGUGGAUGUAGAAAACGAAGGGCAACAUCAACUUGAGUAUCUAGAGAUAUAUGAUUGUGGAAAGCUGGAGAAAUCGUCGCGGGGGCUACGUACCCUCACUUCUCUUCGAGAGAUGCAUAUCAGGGGGUGUCCAAGUCUGGUAUCUUUUUCAGAGACAGGCUUUCCGCCUAGCCUAAAGAAACUUCAUAUUUGGCAUGGAUGUAAGGCUCUGCGGUCCUUACCUGGGUGGACAGCACACGACUCUAAUCUGGAGUGGUUGUGGAUAAACGGGUGUGAUAAUCUGGAGUCCUUUCGGGAAGAAUGGGUCCACCACCCCCCAACAAAACUGUCAUAUUUGUUUAUCAGCAAUUGCAAAAAACUAGAAUCGGUCAGUUUAUGCAACAACAGCCUCCUCGCUUCCCUUAAUCUUCUGUGGAUAGAUAAUUGGCCUGCAGGAGGAGGAAUCGUCUCCUCCUACAUUCUAGAGAAAGGGAAUUUCCUCACCAACCUCACUUAUCUUCGAAUCGGGAAUAUGAAGAUUGGUAAGCCCCUAUCAGAGUGGGGUUUGCACAGAUUCUCCUCUCUUAAAACUCUCUGGCUUGGAGGCCCAAGUAACGUAUCAGAAGAAGAAGAAGAAGAAGAAUAUUAUUCGGUGUCCAGCUUUCCAGUAGAUGGGAUGUUGCUGCCCACCUGUCUGAUGUCUCUCGUCAUUUGGAAUUUCCCAAAUCUGGAGAAGAUAUCUUCUUCCAUGGAGACCAUUCAAAACCUCACCCAUCUUUAUUUCAGUAAUUGCCCUAGGCUCGCAUCUUUUCCCGAGCAAGGAGGGCUGCCUCCCUCGCUUUUGCAACUUGGUUUCUCCGGAUGUCCAAUAAUGAAACGGCGGUGUGAAAAGGGGAAAGGCCAAUAUUGGCCCCUCAUAGCUCCCAUUCCUGCAGUCUUCAUGGAAGGCAGAUACAUCUUUGAAGGGGAAGGGAAAAGGCCAACAUGAGCAAUCAAAACUAGCAGAUACAUCUUUGAAGUAGAGGAAUAAACUGUGCGAUAUGAGCCAUCAAAACUAUCAGGUUCAAUAUAUUCAUUUAUCUGCUUUGCCCUAGCUACCGCUAUUCUUGGGAAACCAAAAGAGCUACCAAAGGAUGGUAUCAACUCUUUCAAUCAUUUUCUGCUGCAUCCGGUGAAGUAAAUGUUGCAUCUAAUUUAAAGAAAUGUUGCAUCUUGUUGAAGACCUAAAAAAUGCAGUGGCUUGAUGAUUCUGUGUUGUUGUUGUUGUUUCCUUGCUUUUGGUCAUGUUGCUUUUUCUUUUUUUUUUUUGGUAAAUUGGGUUGCUUCUUUUAUCAUACUGUAUUUUCUGCUGUUGCUUUUGUACGUGUCAUAUAUAAAAACUCAGUGGUAAAUUGACUGGUUUAUGCUGAUGCUACUGUCGUUGCUUCUUUGGCUUUCUAGACUUUUUGUGCAGUUAUUGCUUUCUUCUCAUGGUUUGUAUGUUGUAUCUGUUGUACAUAUGUUCAUGUCAGAUGUAAACAAGGCCUAGAUUGGCUAAAUGGUAUUGUUCUCAUCUUUUGCUUGCUUUAGACAAUUCCCA